GACGUAGGGUGCAAGCGUUGUCCGGAAUUAUUGGGCGUAAAGAGUUCGUAGGCGGUUACUUAAGUCUGGUGUUAAAUACGGGAGCUCAACUCCCGCAUGGCAUUGGAAACUGGGUAGCUAGAGUACGGUAGAGGUCUCGGGAAUUCCAGGUGUAGCGGUGAAAUGCGUAGAUAUCUGGAGGAACACCGGUGGCGAAAGCGCGAGACUGGGCCGUAACUGACGCUGAGGAACGGAAAGCCAGGGUAGCCAAAGGG
rnacentral:rRNA from 1 species